UAAACAGCUGAUCUGAGGUCGACCUUGGAUGAAGACAAAAAGUGCCUCCGAGAUGUAGAGCGAGUAGGGCGUCUAAGUACGCUGGUGACAGUAUAAGCAGAUGGAAAAAAAUAACAAAGGCUGCUACAAGUUAUGAACUGGAAUCAAAUGCUUCAAACAAUGAGCUACCACCUUCGGGGAGCGAAGAAAAAUAAAAUCCACACCACCGAGGGGCCGGACAUGGGAGCUGCAUUUAGAAAGUCAGGGUGGAAUGCGAAAAAACCAAGAACUGAACCUGCCCAUAAUGGUCCAAUCAUAUGGGACCCUAAAAACACUUUGCCAGGAUCGUUAAGGGUAAAACCAAAACAAAAACUUUCCACCAAGUCAAAAAAAUCACAAUCCAAAGUGAAAAAAAAUGGACACAGAAAAAUAAAAUCUGAAGAGGUGUUCCCUUUCUCACAGUUGCCUAGCAACUGCAAAUUGAAAAUCUUGUCUUAUUUGGGGGAGAGUGAUCGCGGUGCUGCAGGUCAAGUGUGCCGGGAAUGGAACAUUUUGAUCAAGUCAUCAGGGAUAUGGGACACUAUUAACUUCACCACAUUCCCUUUGUGCACAAACCCAGGGAAGACGCAUGAAUGUUCGCAUGAAUGCUACCAAAAAUAUAUGACACGGGUGAAAAACUACAUGACGUACUUAGGUUAUAUCCAGCCAGCCAUGAAAAAAUUGCAGUUUGACUUUGACAUUGGAGACAAAGAGGAUGGGUGGCUAACUUGCCUAGAGCGGUUCCUGAUGAACUGUCAAGGAGAUAAACUCCUGUAUGCCCGUAUGAAUUGGAAGGAAACACCGGUGAAGCCGUUUUGUGUAGAUGGGUUUGCAUGGAGCUCUAGGGAGUACAAUGAAAUGGUACAUAGACAUCGCCACCGUCAACGAGAUUUCAUUCAGUUUCUCGAACUAUUCGUCAAUGUUGCUCCCAAUGUAAAGCAAUUAAUGGUGCCUUUUGAUUGGUCGUUCAGGUCAAUUUACUUGCUGAGUAAGUUGCAUCAGCUCGAGACAUUAAUCCUUGAAAGAUACUUUGUCUUCCACACUCUAAAUCAAAAUGCAUUAGAUGAACUGUUGCGGGUAAUGCCAAAAGUGCGAAAGCUUGUACUGGAAGUUUGGUGUCCUUCUGGGAGAGGACUAGAGCUCUAUCGUAUGAGCUCUAACUCGAUUGAAACCUUGGACAUUUCGCAAUCUCGAGGUUUCUACCUGAAAAGUGUCAACCUUCCAAAUAUGGUAUCGUUUAGGGCGACACGUCACCCAUGGAAUGGACCUCUUGUUUCACCUGAACACAUCAAUCUCCCAUGUUUGUAUAAGGUGCUUGUUCAGGGCGCCCCAAAACUCCGACAAUUCAAUGAUCUCAUCCUAACUGAAGAUUGGCGGCAGUCUUCCUGCCCAAAACUGGAAGAACUUUUAAAAACUGUGUGUUCUUGCAGAAACCACAAGCAAGGUUGGUCUAUGUAAAUUUAGAAACUUAAACUUGUAUUUUGAAUAAAUAUGUUACAAUGUGAUCUAAAUGAACAAGUUUAUUCAAAAUACAUUGGUUUGGUUUGGUUUGAGUAUUUGCUAACAGUAUGGUGAUAAUAACUUAAACAUGUGUACUUAAUUCUGCGUACUAUUCUCAUGCCCAUAUUGCAUGCCUUUACUCUUAAAAUAGCAUGGAAAAGAAUCAUCAAUGAUGAAAACAUAAACAUGUACAUUAAAGGGACAUUCCUUGUGAGCCCAUUUCUGUCUUGAUAUGGUUGUUUUAAUCAAAAAGGUAGCAAUGGGCUUGCAAGGAUGCUCUUUAAAGUCAAAACUCAUAUUUAGAAACUCCUGCAUUUGUAAAUCAAGGACUGGUUAUUGAUGUGCCUAGAGUGUAAUCACACGUAUCCAACUGAUUUUGUAACAGAUGACCAACUUAUCUCAAUUCUUGUUUCUUUACAUAUAAAUGACUAUUACGGCUUAUGACUAAUCACAUCUUUGGCUCAGAUUUGAUUUAUGUAUUUUUGGCUUGGCUAAGAUUUUGUACAUACGUGACAGUAUUCAAGUAAUGUUAUUGAUUAUUUGAGCCAGUAGUACCUCGAGAACUGAAAAAUGCACAGAAUUCAUAAUCAGGGUUUCAUCAACUUUUUAAGUACAUGUAUCAUUAUAUCAUGCAUUGUGUGUUUUGGAAAUCAUGAAGGUUAUGCCAUUCAGAAUAUUCUAGUUUCAUGCCAGUUCUGAAGACUGAUAUCAGAAAAAGUUUCUAUUUCCCGUUUUCUGGCCUCUUUAAAUGUUGAUAACAACUAUUAAAAA
rnacentral:misc_RNA from 1 species